AGCGAACGCUGGCGGCAGGCCUAACACAUGCAAGUCGAACGAACUCUUCGGAGUUAGUGGCGGACGGGUGAGUAACACGUGGGAACGUGCCUUUAGGUUCGGAAUAACUCAGGGAAACUUGUGCUAAUACCGAAUGUGCCCUUCGGGGGAAAGAUUUAUCGCCUUUAGAGCGGCCCGCGUCUGAUUAGCUAGUUGGUGAGGCAAAGGCUCACCAAGGCGACGAUCAGUAGCUGGUCUGAGAGGAUGAUCAGCCACAUUGGGACUGAGACACGGCCCAAACUCCUACGGGAGGCAGCAGUGGGGAAUCUUGCGCAAUGGGCGAAAGCCUGACGCAGCCAUGCCGCGUGAAUGAUGAAGGUCUUAGGAUUGUAAAAUUCUUUCACCGGGGACGAUAAUGACGGUACCCGGAGAAGAAGCCCCGGCUAACUUCGUG
rnacentral:rRNA from 1 species